UAGGAAAAGGAGUGGACAGAGG
rnacentral:miRNA from 1 species